rnacentral:tRNA from 1 species
AGGAAGGUUCCGUUUGUUGGUAUGACGGGUUGAGUUGUAGCCUCAAUAGUGUAAACUGUCGAAGGUUCGAUUCCUUUUCUUCCUA